GCCCAGUGAAAUUUUUUAACGGCCGCGGUAUUCUAACCGUGCAAAGGUAGCGUAAUCACUUGUCUUCUAAAUAAAGACCAGUAUGAACGGCUAAAUGAGGAUAAACCUGUCUCCUACAACUAAUCAGUGAAACUGAUCUUCCAGUCCAAAAGCUGGAAUUCCAACACAAGACGAGAAGACCCCGUGGAGCUUAAGACGAACCACUAAUAUACUAGAAAAAGUCUUAAGUUGGGGCGACUUCGGAACAAAAUAAAACUUCCGAGCACAGAGCCACACCUCUAACUAAGGCUAACAAGCCAAAGAAUUGACCCAGUCAUACUGACUAACGAACCAAGUUACCCCGGGGAUAACAGCGCCAUCUUCUUCAAGAGUCCCUAUCGACAAGAAGGUUUACGACCUCGAUGUUGGAUCAGGACACCCAAAUGGUGAAGCCGCUAUUAAAGGUUCGUUUGUUCAACGAUUAACAGUCCUACGUGAUCUG
rnacentral:rRNA from 1 species